CCCCUAGACGUUCUGGGCUGCACGCGCGCUACAAUAAUACGCACAGCGAGUAUCACCGAGCUCGAAAGGGCAAGGUAAACAAUAGAAAAGGUACUGUAAUGGUUAUAGAUCCUUGUAAUUAUUGAUCUUCAACGAGGAAUUCCUAGUAAGUAUGUGUCAUCAUCACGCACUGAUUACGUCCCUGCCCUUUGUACACACCGCCCGUCGCACCUACCGAUUGAAUGUUUCGGUGAAGAUUCCGGAUAGGACUUUUUUGAUUUAUUUCAAUUUUGUCUUAAAAGCUAUCUAAACCUCAACAUUUAGAGGAAGGUGAAGUCGUAACA
rnacentral:rRNA from 1 species